GACGAAGGAUGCAAGCGUUAUCCGGAUUCAUUGGGCUUAAAGGGAGCGUAGGCGGAUUGGUAAGUCAGUGGUGAAAUCUGUGGGCUUAACCCACAAACUGCCAUUGAUACUGCUGAUCUAGAGUACAGUUGCCGUUGGCGGAAUAUGACAUGUAGUGGUGAAAUACUUAGAUAUGUCAUAGAACACCGAUUGCGAAGGCAGCUAACGAAGCUGUAACUGACGCUGAGGCUCGAAAGUGCGGGGAUCAAACAGG
rnacentral:rRNA from 1 species